GGAAUCAAGUGAGAGCUUAAGAAAUAGAGAAGAAAGAGCUAGGGAGAAAUUUUUAGUUGCAAGAAGAGUAGAGGUUCUGAAGGGUUUCGGGGAAAUAAAUUCAGAUCAAGAGGAAUCUGGAAUAGAGAUGAAGGAAUGUCGCCUCACAUAGUGCCAAGGAAAGGGAGGAGUAGAAGAACUAUAAUUAGAAUCUUUUUACAUGUAUAGACUUAUAUUAACUAGGAAAUUUUAAAGGGUGAGAUUACGGAA
rnacentral:sRNA from 1 species